rnacentral:lncRNA from 1 species
CUAUGCUCCUUUUCUUAAUGCUCCUUUUCUUCCUUUUCUUUUUAUAGAUUGAAGACAUGUGGCAAAAUUAUAUCUAAUGGCUGAUAUUAGAUGGUUAGAAUUAAUAUAAAAAAAAGGUUCAUCUGUCUUCUUUCUCUGAAACAACACAAGUAACACAUGGUUUCAUCUUCUCCCUCCUUCUCCGUCCGCCACCACCACCAGCCACCGCCACAACCCCACUCUAUCCGCCCCAACGACGUCGUUCUUCUGCUCCACACACCACCUUUUCGUCUCACCGUCGUCCUCUAAAUAGUGGGAAAUUGCAUCACGGCUCCACCUCUUUCUUCACUAUAUGCUUGUUGUAGAGUUGUUUCUCUUUUCUUCUUUCUACAAAGUUGUAAGGAAUGGUUGAAAUUAUAUAAAUGUUAUUAUUAAUUAAAGAACAAAGAAUUUUCCAAAUCCAAAUGAGAAGAAUCUCAAAUCUGGACAAGAACAAAGGGGUUUCCAAAUCAAUAAGUAAAUCUUUAUUCCUUUGAUAUCAAACAUUUAUGAAAUCCAUUCAAACAGCAAAAAAGAAGAAUUUCUGAGGAAGAAUUGACGAACUGAGAUGCAAUUGAAGCAUAAAUAGUGGUUGAUGAAUAUCUUGCUGCACUUAAGAACGUUGUAACAGUGCAAAAUGGUUGAUAACGGCGAUGGUGACAAGCCAACGGAGAAUGGUUAAUGACGGCGGUGGCGACGAGGCAACGGAGA